rnacentral:rRNA from 1 species
AAGGUCCCAAAGUCAUGGUUAAGUGGGAAACGAUGUGGGAAGGCCCAGACAGCCAGGAUGUUGGCUUAGAAGCAGCCAUCAUUUAAAGAAAGCGUAAUAGCUCACUGGUCGAGUCGGCCUGCGCGGAAGAUGUAACGGGGCUAAACCAUGCACCGAAGCUGCGGCAGCGACACUAUGUGUUGUUGGGUAGGGGAGCGUUCUGUAAGCCUGCGAAGGUGUACUGUGAGGUAUGCUGGAGGUAUCAGAAGUGCGAAUGCUGACAUAAGUAACGAUAAAGCGGGUGAAAAGCCCGCUCGCCGGAAGACCAAGGGUUCCUGUCCAACGUUAAUCGGGGCAGGGUGAGUCGACCCCUAAGGCGAGGCCGAAAGGCGUAGUCGAUGGGAAACAGGUUAAUAUUCCUGUA